UACGAAGGGGGCUAGCGUUGCUCGGAAUCACUGGGCGUAAAGCGCACGUAGGCGGCUUUUUAAGUCAGGGGUGAAAUCCUGGAGCUCAACUCCAGAACUGCCUUUGAUACUGGAUGGCUUGAGGUUGGGAGAGGGAUGCGGAAUUCCAGGUGUAGCGGUGAAAUGCGUAGAUAUCUGGAGGAACACCGGUGGCGAAGGCGGCAUCCUGGACCAAUUCUGACGCUGAGUGAGCGAAAGCCAGGGGAGCAAACGGG
rnacentral:rRNA from 1 species